UGUAGUCGGGGCGCCCCGGGCGAGGGGCCGAGGGGAGGGGGGCCCAGUGCCAGCCACUUAAAAAUGCCCCCGUGGCGCUGAGGGGCACCAGAGGCCGGGUCAAGUUAGUUGAGAAGCAGGGACACCCCCAACCACUCCCCAGACAUGCCGGCCCCCAUCUCCAGGCCCCAAGGAGCCACACCUGGACCCGGCCCCGGGAAAGGCCGGGCGCCGGCUGGCAGGAGCCUUCCGUACCGUCCUGAUGGCAGAGAAGCAAGAACCCCAGUGAGGGAGCCUCCGGGGGACACAGGACAGCAAGCAGCAGCCCUGGAAGCAGAACUGUGAGCACCACCCCCCAUCCCCUACACCCACACCGCUGCCCACCCCACCUGCAGGCAGCUCCCAGGGUAACCUGGGUCCCUCGGCUUAAACUCCCCACCCCAACCCGCAGAAGGACCAAGAAGCCAGGCGCUGGUCAAAGGAAGGCCCCGCUGACUGGCGGGAGUGCAGGCACUCCCAGGCUCUGGGGUCCGGGCCACAGGUGACAAGCAGUGAAACCAAAGAAGGGAAAACCCACCAGCAGCCAAGAGUGCAGCCCGCCCAUCCCCCCUGCACACGGCAGAGGACGCAUGUGAUCUGGUGAACAGGGAACCUGGGGACAGUGUGGGGAAUGUAACCUUCCCUGGGAAGGAGUAAGUAGGGCCAGGCUCUAGAAGCAGGAAGACCUGGGCUGUGUGACCUCAGACAAGUCACUCAGCCUCUCUGAGCCUGGUGGUCGUAAGGCCCUGGGGGGCUUGGCGACAUGGGGCCUGUGUCCUGGUGCACAGCACAUGGCACACAGCGAAGCUCAAGACAACAGGAGCAGUUAGUACCGUUCAUCAUGUUCUCCCCACACUUGCCCACUGUUAAAGACACGUGCACGCUCACGGUGCUGCAGGCAGGGCGGAGUAGAGAAACUGAGGCCAGGGAGGUGAAGGAGCUCCCUUGCAGUCGCACAGUCAGGGGCAAAGGGGAAUCUGGCACAGGUCUCACGUGGAUGGAAAGAGCGGAGGACGGUCUGGAGGUGAGCGGAGGGACGGGGAAGGAGGCAGGGCUCCAGGAAGGAGCUGACACGCAGGGGCGUGGAGCAAGGCCCAGGCCUGUCUUACAUAACGAGGCCCACCUGUCCGCCCCACACGCCCCACACAUGUGUGCAAACGUGCACCUCGGCACAGCACCCAGCCGGUCCCCGCUCUCCAGCACAUGAGCCACGGAGACCGGGUCCAAACAAAUUGGAUUAGCAGGGCUGCAGGCACCUCCUCCCCCCGGCUGUCCGGCUCCGACACUAAGCAGGCCUGCAGAGCCGCCAGCUGCGGUCUCUCGGCCACGCUGACAGUCCGUCCUCGGCCCCCUCACCCCGCCCGAGGCUCCAGGAAGGGGGCUGGGGUCUGAGAGGAUGCCACGAUGAUGGAUGGGGUGAGGGAGGUUCGGGGCUCGCUCAAGAGCGCACAGGAUGUUAGUGCUUGUGUGAGGCACAUUUCUGAGCCGUUCCCAGCAACCCCCGCCUCCCCCGGCGCCCUCCCCUCCCGCAGCCUCUCCAUGGCCACUGCUGCCGGGCUGGGACUUGGGCCCAGCCUAAGGCUCCGGCCAGAGCCCAGCCCCCACCCUUCAUCGCUCAGUCCCGCAGCUGGGCCGAGCAGGGAGCGCUCAGCUCAGGAGACAUCGGCCCGGGGAUGAGACACAGGUGGGCACAUUAGAGGGAAAAGGAACCUGUGAACAGAAAGACAAUGCCAUCUUAAAGGUGAUGUCUCAGUGCUUCCCCAUCCAUCGUUUUGUGUCAUCCUCAGAAUGUGCCUGGGAGUUAGGGGGUCGCGCCCAGGAGACAGAUGUGACUACUGAGGCUUAGUCACUCGGUGAUGUCACAACACCACUUCCCGAGCCCCGAGUCUGUGCCAGGCCCUCUGUGACGUGCUGGGGACCCCAAGGUGAAUGACUUAGAGCCCCUACUCCUUCGGGCUGGGUCACUGGAUACUGGGGCGCCUUGGUCUUCCAGGGCAGCAGCUCCGGCCGGAUCCCCUCCCAGAAAAGGCACAUGGAACUGAUUGAAAGUUACCACCGCGAGGAGCGUUAGCGACCAGCCCACCCAGAACCCAGGCCCCGGCGUCAGACAGCCCGAGUGCACACCCUGCCUCGUUCCCUUUCACGAGACAGCUGUGGUCAAAUUGCGUGGCAUCCCCAAGCCUGUUUGCCCUUCUGCAAAAUGGCGACACAAAAGUGCCCACCUCGUAGGGCCGACUGUGAGAAUGAACUAUUAUUUUCCACACCCUCGUUUGACAGCAGGAGGAACAGAGACCCAAAGAGGGAAAGGCUUGGCCAGGGUCACACGGCGUACUUGGUGAGCCCUCCUCUCUGGGUGCGCCUCUUCCCUCCCCGUCCCUCAUCCCAGCACAGAUCGCAGAUCGUCCCCCUGCAGCCCAGGGGCCAGGACAGGAGACCUUCUGCCCGGCCCUAGUCUCUGCAGCAGCGGGGUCCAGGCGACAGGGCGGCCCCAGCGCUGUGAGUGAGGUGGAGGGUGGGGGAGCGUGGGCUCCCAGCCCAGGGCGGCCAGGCCAUAUAAGGAAGGAGCCCAGGGAGGCCUCCUGGCUCAGGCCUGGCGAGAAAACCCAGACAGCCACUGUUUAUUUUCUCCUCCCCGGCCGCCCCAGAGCUUCCCGACAGAAGACAGAGGUUCCCCGCAGGCCGAUGACAUUUCCUGAAGACACAGGGAGCCCAGAGGCAGAAACAGUCUGUCUGCCGGGGAGCAGUCCCCAAGCUGCCCACAGCCAGCACGGGGCCACCAGGUAAGAUUCGGAGGCCACCUGGGCCAACUGUCUCCUCUUGCAGAAGAGGACACAGUUGCAGGAAGGAGAAAGCCCGGUAAGAAGUAGAGCCCAAGACUCCAGGGCGGCCUCCUUCGUCUCCUGACCGGAGAGCCCGAGCGUGAAGGAGGCUUUCUCGAGGUGAGUGGAAUACGAGCACCAUAGACCUCUGUCCUCUGGCAGGCCCUCCUGCGAAGGGGACAGGGGUUGGGACGAGCAUGUCUGUGUGCCCUGCAAAUGCACCACUGAGAGGCAGAGUUCCUGGGCCCGGAAUCCCAGGAGAAGCGCCAGCCCCCUCCCAGCCCGGCACACUACCCCCUCCUCCAGGCAGCCUUCUCAGCUGCCCCCAAGGGUGGGAACCUCCUUGUCCUCUAGCGCUAGGCUGUCCUUUCUCGGGCUGUCUCUAAUCCCACUUGGGUCCACCCUCUGUCUACCCCGCCAGGGGCAUUUUCCUUCUGCCUCGGCCUGCCUGUGCUCCUCUAGGGCAAGGACCCCGUCAGGUCCAGUCCCGUCUCCCCUCAGCACAUGCGAGGGGCACUCGGCUUGGUGAAUGAGCAGGUGAAAUGAUUAGGCCUUGUCCCCAAACCAGAGGACCGGUAAAGUGAUCGGGGGACGAGACACAGAGGUUAAAAUGAGGGUCCUGGGCUGGCUGUUCUGAGUUAGGAACCCCAGCUUGGUUCCUAACUCUGUGUGCUGGGAAAACUCCCUUCCCGUGGAUCUUUGUGGACACACAAGGACCGGCACAAUUAAAACGUAGCAUAAGUCGCCAUUCUCAUUGCAGUCAUCACCAUUAUGAUUAUUCUAGACACACAAGGAACAGAACGAGGCAGCCUAUAGCUAGGCCUGGGCCAGACUCGAGGGCCACAGAGGAGAAGGAGGCAUAUACAUUACCCGGUCAAAGGCUGCAUCUCAACUGUAUUUCUGCCUCAGUUUCUCCUGGAGAAGCGUGCCUCCCAUCUAGUUCCUGCCUCUAAAGCCAGGAGAGAUGCUACCUUUGCUGCAGUAUUCUUAACCCAUGGCACAUGGUGGAGAUGGCCCUCCCUGGUUCCUGUUCUGUGACCCUGGAACAGUCCCCUCCCCUUCCUGAUCUUCCACGUAGGAGCCAUGACAUUCCCGCCUCCCUAGCUGUCCUCAAGAUUAAUUCGAGCGGACACUGUUUCCCAAGCUCAGUCAUUCAGGUGCCCUCUUUUUUACUUUUGCCUUAUCUGCAUAUGAUCACAAUAUUUUUAAAUGUAAGGUGAGUCCUUUUUAAUACUUAAAUAGAAAAGGCUACUGUAAAUGGGAAACUAUAACAUUGUUCAUACUUAGGAGAUAAAGGUAACAGUAAAUACACUAAAAAUGAAACAGCAUAGUCACACUUUAACCUGAUGCUGUGGCUUGCAAGGCCCCAGCCGGGUGAUAAGCAGGAGCUAGAAAGUGUCAGAGACAGAAUGGCACCAACCGGAGGCUUUCUUCCCCUGGUGAGGGGAAAGACUGACAGCAACUGACAGACAACGACCUGACACACACUGUUCCCAGGUGCGUCAGGGCUGAGGCCGCGAGCCCGUAAAAUACACGCACCCCACCUGCAGCGCUCAGGAAGCCAAAGGCAGUUUCGGUGAAAGGGCUUAGCAACCAGGGUUUCAGGAUAAGCCUCCCCGGCUUCUUACCGAGGCCGCGUGUGGGUCGGGCUGAGAACUCUCUUUCCCAGGGCCCAGUGGAGAGCGGAGCGGGCAGGCUCGCUGUGACCCCACCCCACCUCCCCGUGAGUCCCAAUGAAGGAAUCACUCCCUAGCCAAACGCAGAUUGAAAAGAGUCCCUGCGAGAGAAUUCCAAGUAAGAGGGAGGCAGCUCUUUGGCUAAGGAUGCCUCCUCAGGAAGGGACUGUCCCCUUCGGCUGUCAGAACUGACCUCCCGUAAGUGACAGAGCAGAGGGAAACACUCUUCCCACUCUUCCAGGAUUGGAGCGUGAUUUCAGAUUCCCGCCAGCUUUGAAGAAAGGCUGCCUGCCCGCUUCAGAUGCCCCUGAAAAUACAUGUCAUGCGGCAUCAAGGCCACCGCAGUGACCACUAAGCAAAGUGGGAAGGUCCUCUGAGGUUCCCUGAGAUCUUGGAGGGGACAGGAGGAGGGGGAAGGGCCUUUGCCUGCUCACCUGGAAGCUCCCACCCAAUCAAGCCAAGAGAAGAAAGUGAAUUACCUACAAGGUCAUUCAGUCAGCUACCAAAUGGCAUUCCCUAGGGUCCAUCAUCAUAUACAAAGCCAUCAGCAAGACCCAGCAUCCCCCAAAUUAACAGGACGAGGGCACUGUCCUCAGGGACCCAGAGAUUUAGCCAGGUCAGACCCACGCACAAAUAGUUCUCGUGCUAGAGAUAAUGGGACCAAGGAAGUAUGAUUCCACCAUGUGACCAAUGCUUAUUUGUCAUCUACACCAGCUGGCCCUGACUUCAGUGGUGAGUAUGGUUGACAGGUCCCUUUCCUCAUGGCUGGGCCAUAUAGUCCACAUGUGGAGGUGUCAUCAGUGACAAUGCUGUCGCCAGUGUGGUAAAGGGUCAGAAAGAGGGCACAGGAUGAGUGAGAACGCGGAGCAGGGUGCCCCGCUGUCUGCGGAAGUCAGAGACGGCCUCCCAGCCCGGUCACUUGAGCAGAGAUGUAGAGGAGACUAAGCACUCCAAGAGGAGAGAGGCAGGGUGGCAGGGGAGUGGCAUAGCUCCUCUGGAGCCUGGGGUGGGGGGCGUGGGGCUCCCUGGAGGGCCAGGACCCACAAGGAAGAGGCCCUGGGUGGAGGGGGGCAGGCCCUGCAGGCCUCAGGCUUCUGAAAGGGCUUCAGAAUCUAGCCCGAGGUCAGCAGGCAGCCCUUUCAGGAUUUUACACUGGGAAAAGAUAUGAUCAUAUUUACAUUUUAAAAAAUCACUCUGUGAAAAUAAAAAACAAACAAAAAUCCAUAGGCAGGGCUGAUAGUGAAAAUAAAAAAAAAUCACUCUGGGAGAAUAGGUGGGAAGAGGGGAGGCGUGGAAGAAGGGAGACGUGGACAGUUGUUUGAGGAUCUAAAAUAUCAAGGAGCACGCGUGGUGCUGUUCGGCUGGGCUGCACCAGGCAUAAAGGCGGGGCAGAGGUCAGCGAGGCAGGUCAACACACUGGCUGAUUCCGUUUAUUGAAACGUCCAGAACAGGCAGCUCUGUAGAGACAGGAGGCAAUCUGCCCAGAGCUGGGGUUUGGCUAAGGAUAAGGGGCUUCUUUUGGGGGGUGGCGAAAUACUCUAAAGUUAAUUGUGGCAACGCUUGCACAACUUUGCGAAUGUAUUAAAAACCAUUUGCGUGUUCGUGUUAGAUGGGUGGAUUCUAUCUAAAUCAAGCUGUUGAAAAGAAAACAAUAAAGGUCAAGGUUUGGUCCCAGAGGGCUUGAGUGGCGGGCCACAGACAGGAGACGCAGCUGGGGGCAGUCACCACAGUCUGGGGAGGAGCUGGAGGGGCAGGGCCAGGUCCCCUGUAACGCCCUGUCCCGCCACGGCCGCCAGAGCGGAGAGCGCAGCGCCCUGUCUCCCAGCCUGAGGUGCAGUGCUGCAUCUCUGGUCAGUUGGGAGUCUGAGAUGAAGCACUGUAGCUCGGGAAGGGAGAAGUUGUUCUGCAGCCACCAGCAUGGAAGCGGUAAGUCGAGGGUGGGCGGGGGUACCAGGAAACCGGAGGAGUGUUUCCAGAAUCCACACUGGCAGCCACUCGUGGUGCUGGGGAAAUUGCUAGAGUCCAGUCCUAGCCAUGCCGUGACCUGCUUCAAGGUUCUGGGCAUGUCCUGGCUCUGAUGUGCAGCCCGGCGUGCCCAGCCCAUCCUUAAUGGGAGGUGCUGGACCACUGCCCAACACCCUGCCUCACUUUCCCUUUCUGAGCACCAGGCAGACACUGCCAAUCCAUCCAGAUGUUCAUUCCUGAAGUGUUCGGAUGCAGCUUCAGAUCCUUCUCCACAACAAGCCCUGGGCAGCCACCGUUAAUGAUUCAGAGCUGAGACUCAUGCAGCAUCUGUGGUUCAGACAAUUCCUAAAAACACCCUUUCCGCCCUAAAGACAAAAGUCCUAGACUUUGAGUCAAGGUCUUCACUCUCUGUGCUCUUGACCUUGGCUCUGGGCUACUGCCAAAACCAGUACCAGCAUCUCACAAGUGUCUGAUGGAGGCUUCAGACAAGCGAUGAACAGCAGAGGAGAGCCACUGGGAUAAGCACAAUUUUAUUUAACCUCUCUACAAGCUUGGGAGGUGGGCAGUGUUCCAGGCCCAUUUUACAGAUGAGAAAAACAGAGGCUCAGUUAAGCAGAUUGCCCAAGGUCACACAUUAUUAUGCUGAGCUGGGCUUGUACCCUAAUCUACCUGCCUCUAGAUCCCCGAGUUCUUACCCAUUGCCUGGGAUUAUGGACCCAGCUCUAAUCUUAUCUUUUCAUCUCAGGGCACUUUUAGUGAAGACAGACCCAAACACUUGCCAUUAAUCCUACGGGCUCCCUUCCUCCUACGCUCCUCCCCAAAAUCUCCUUUCUCUCACCUCUCCUACUGUUCCAUUUUGCAGUUAAGGAAAGCAAAGGCUCAGAGGUUAAGUGACUUGCUAGAGGCGGUCGGUGAGGAAGUUGCCAAGCGGAGACCGGGAAAUGGACGGUUGGUUUAAAUUCACCCUCCCGCUGGAGACUCGGGAACACACGCGACCCCCCAGCAGCCGACCGGCCCCCGGGGCCCGGGGCACCACAUGGUUUCUGGCGGACAGUGUCAUCAAAGUCCGGCCUUUGACUACAGAGAAGGGACUUCCCGGGGCACUUGAAGCUCCAGUCACUGCUCACAUCCUGCGAUCCCGGGCGCCCCGCGCUUGGGGGCCGCAGACGGGGCCGGACGCAGAAGAAAACUCCAGCUGGUCCUUGGGGACGUGGCAGGCCUUGCUGCUGAAGGCCACUCUCUCCCACCUUGUCCUCACGGUCCAGUUUUCCCAGGAAUCCCUUAGAUGCUAAGAUGGGGAUUCCUGGAAAUACUGUUCUUGAGGUCAUGGUUUAACAGCCGGAUUCACCUCCUUCCCACCGGAGUCGCGGCCGCAGCGCGCGCGGCGCCCGGAGAAGGCCGCGCCCUGGAGGUAAGAGGGCUUGGGGGACACGCUUGCGACCUUGACGUUGCUUUUCUUCCCAUUGCGUCCAUUUCGUAACGCCCCUGUGAGGCUGGAUGCGGGCACUUCUCUGCCGCGCUCUCGGGAGAUGUCCCCAGAGCCGCUCGGCGGAGCGGGGCGAACCGGGACGCGGGAGGCGCGUGCUCCUCGUCUGCACCGGCCCAGCCCCACUUCCCAGCCCGCAGCAAGGGCUGCAGUCUCGUGUCCACGUUAUCGAUAAACUACUAAACGCACGUGAAUUUAUUUUAAAAGUGUAUUAAAUCAGAUAAACUGAAAACCAUUAAGUCUUAGUCUGUAUUUGGAGCACAGCCAGGGAGAAAUGGAAAAAUUUUCGCCGCGAUGAAGACAAAAGCUCGGGGCUCCCUCUAGUGGCGCCUCCGCCCGCCCGGGGGCCGCCCGGCUCCGCCCGCAGGGAUCCGCGCUCGUCUUGCGGAGGGAUGCGGGACUCAGAUGGGAGUCUUCCUGCACGUGCGCGCGCACGUGCGCGCGCAGACACACGUGCACACGCGUGCAUGCACGCGCGUGCACCGAGAUUCCCUUUGCUUUCCCGUCCCUUUCGCGCCAGUGAGAGCGCAGGACCUCUCCCUUGUCACACCCAUCACGUCUCGCUUCACUUCCACGUGCUACUUCCUCCUCAAAACUCCUCCUUAGGUCAGUGAGGUUGGUGAGGCUCCCGCAGGUCAAAUGACCAGCCCAGGGUCACCCAGAUAGCAAAAGGCUCGGAUGAAUUUCAAGUUCAGUGGCCCAUGGCAAUUUUUUUUUUUUUUUUUUUUUUUUGCCAAAAGUAAAGACUACAAAAAUGAAAAAUAAGAAAGCCGACCUCGCUGACUACAUUAGUAUACAGGGAAUGCCACCUGACUGAACGACGAAAGGCCUAAGUGGUCCAGGCGCCAAACGAGAACUUUCGCCAAACUCUUGCUAGUGCAUUUCACGGAGUUGGUGGAGAUGGUAGCAGGUGUCCUGGCCCCGGGACCCUCGUUCUGGGGUCUCAGCCCCACACUCCCGGGGACCAGGCAGUCCCCACAGGGGUCCCAGGCUGUCUUCCUCACGGGCCACAUUGAAAAAACAUUUCUGGAACGAGACUCCUUCCCUCUCAUCCACGCAGAGAACCCAGAUCUGCUCAUGCUCACACUCCCGGCUCCCACUCGUCUCUGCGGGUCGCCGGGCACCGGGCUAACGCCCGAGCAUCGCCCACCCAGGCCUCACCACAGCCCAGCCGCGGGUUCUACUCUUCAGCCAGGGCUGAGGGAGGGUGAGAGACGGCCGAGGCCACACGGGGUAGGAAGUGGGGAGGCUGGAGUCAAAUCUCGUCUGUGUUUAUGUCUUUAGCCCCCACGCCCACAUGGCCUGGCCCUGGCGGAGCUGUCCCCUGAUGGCUGUCCCUGGGGAAGAGGAACACAAGCCUUUAGUGAGACCCAGCUGGGCUCCCCAGUGCUUGGUGGCUAUAAUAAAGUCCCGGACCUUG